rnacentral:rRNA from 1 species
AUGCCUCCUUCCCCCUCAACUUCUCCGAGCGACUGUGGGGAUUCAGCCAUGUCCAUCACGGCGGACGAGGACCACGCCGGAUGGACAUUCGGCGACAGCGGCAGUGACGAGGAAGAGGAAUGGACAAAUCGACCUUUUACGGUUGACGAUUUUCCAAGGGUUAGCUACGACCGUGGUGAACAGACUUAUACAAUCUAUGCGAAUCCUGAUUUUUGUCGUCGGGGCCCUGCGCCACUCUCUCUUUUCCGCGCAUACAAUGACCCCCUUGUUGAUAAAGAGAGGGAUUGGUUUUGUGAAGAGUAUGAACUCCAUGACGAGUCUGAAAUCACUGUUAACAAUGUUGGGAUCAAUGAUUGCUCAAAUAGCUGUGAUCGAUCUACAAUGGUCUUGGUGCAGUUCUUUGACCUUAAAAUCGCUGGCUAUCACCAUACCCAGCCUGGACCUGCCAAAAUAUUUGGUUUUUUCGCAGCACGGGAUCGGAUCAAACCCCUGCGCAACUAUGUCUACAAGCGCGAGAUUGAUAAUUAUGAAGCUGUGGCUGUGAAUCGGAAAAUGGGUACUGCACGUUUAUCACUGGGAAGCCCUGCUCGAGGCAUCAAUAUGACAGACCAUGUGUUGUUCGAAUUCAAACUUUGCAUACGGAUUGAAGACCAACCUGACGAGGGGCCAAAAGAGGAGCUUCUAAUUGAAGGAUGUACUAAGUUGAGCAAUAUGUUCAGACCAUCAUUUGUUGAAACCCAGCGUCUUUAUGGAGAGAAGUGUGGAUUGGACCUGAAGUUUGCCGUACUGAACAGCGCAGUUCAAGCAAAGAUUGAUGUUGAGAUAGUUUACGCUCCUGCAUGUGGCCUUAUUCUGAAUCUGUAUGCCAAGACGAGUGGCUUCGGGGAUAUUAUCCGCCUAUUUCGUGGACGUUCAAAAGCCGGUGGUAGAUUCAGUUCUGUUGUGGGGGUUUUGAUAGAUAGCUACCUUGAUGUUUGCGUUGAAGGGUCUUCCAAAGAGGGUCUUUGUCAGAGGUCGCCUCAAGACGGCUGUGGUCUUGAUCAGAAGCUGCCCUGUUAUACCUGGACAGGCAGAUUUGGUGCAUGCUAUCGUGGAACAGUGGUUGAAAAGGUGAAGUUUGAUAAAUUCACUACGAUUUCAGUGAAAGUGACUUGGAGUAUGGUCGAUGAAGAAUGGCGCAUCCGAUAUGCUUAG